AAGCGUUGUUCGGAUUUAUUGGGCGUAAAGCGCGUGUAGGCGGUUUGUUAAGUCUGGUGUGAAAGCCCUGGGCUCAACCUGGGAAGUGCAUUGGAUACUGGCAAACUUGAGUACGGGAGAGGAUAGUGGAAUUUCGAGUGUAGGGGUGAAAUCCGUAGAUAUUCGAAGGAACACCGGUGGCGAAGGCGGCUAUCUGGACCGAUACUGACGCUGAGACGCGAAAGCGUGGGGAGCAAACAGGAUUAGAUACCCUGGUAGUCCACGCCGUAAACGAUGGGCACUAGGUGUCGCGGGUAUUGACCCCUGCAGUGCC
rnacentral:rRNA from 1 species